UUAUGGUAGAAAGGGUCUGGGGUGGAUGCCUUGGCACCAGAAGGCGAUGAAGGGCGUGGUAAGCUGCGAUAAGCCCGGGGGAGGCGCAAACAGCCUGUGAUCCCGGGAUUCCCGAAUGAGGAAACUCAAUAGGGGUAAAGCCCCUAUUAUCCUAAAAAGGAUGCGAUACCCCCUGAAGUGAAACAUCUCAGUAAGGGGAGGAAAAGAAAUCAACCGAGAUUCCCCAAGUAGCGGCGAGCGAAAGGGGAACAGCCUAAACCAGAUAGGUGUAAUAGCUCUCCGGCGUUGCCUAUCUGGGGUUGUAGGAUACACUUGGGGAAGGCGGAGAACUUCCCAGGGAGUUACAAAACUGAAGGAUAGCUGAAGUGGUCUGGAAAGGCCCGCCAUAGAAGGUGAUAGCCCUGUAAGCGAAAUCCUUCAGUCUCCCGGAAGUGUAUUCCUGAGUACCACGGCCCACGUGAAAGGUCGUGGGAAGCUGGGGGGACUACCCUCCAAGGCUAAAUACUAUCUGGUGCCCGAUAGCGAACCAGUACCGAGAGGGAAAGGUGAAAAGAACCCCGGAGAGGGGAGUGAAAUAGAACCUGAAACCCCAGAUCUACAGACUGCGGAAGGACUACCCCCGUUUGGGGAGGAGCGUCCGACCGCGUGCCUUUUGCGUAAUGAGCCGGCGAGUUGCUCUCAGCGGUGGGUUAAGUCCCUCUGGGACGAAGCCAUAGGGAAACCGAGUCCGAAAGGGCGUUAAAAUCGCUGGGGGCAGACCCGAAACGUCACGAUCUACCCAUGCCCAGGAUGAAGGAUGGGUAAAACCAUCUGGAGGUCCGAACGGGUCCGGGUUGAAAACCGGUCCGAUGAGGUGUGGGUAGGAGUGAAAAGCUAAUCGAGUGACGAUAUAGCUGGUUCCUCCCGAAAUGCAUCUAAGUGCAGCCUCGCGAAAUGAUCUAAGGCGGUAGAGCCACUUCUUUGGCUACCGGAGGGGAAACCUUCCGGAACCAAGGUAAACUCCGAAUGCCUUAGGUCAGUAGCGGGAGUGAGUGGCCCGGGGAUAAGCUCGGGUCGCAAGAGGGGAACAACCCAGACCCUCGGCUAAGGCCCCGAAUUUUGGGCUAAGUGAAGAAGGAUGUCUAUUCGCUAAGACAGCUGGGAUGUUGGCUUAGAAGCAGCCAUCAUUUAAAGAGUGCGUAACAGCUCACCGGCCGAGCGAAUAGGCGCCGAAAAUUUAACGGGACUCAAGCCCAAAGCCGAAGCCAGGGGCAGCUGUUAAAGCUGCGGUAGGGAGGCGUCCCAGGUGCGCUGAAGUCUGACCGAAAGGGCAGAUGGAGUGCCUGGGAGUGAGAAUGCCGGCACGAGUAACGAGAGGGAGGUGAAAAUCCUCCCGCCCGAAAGCCCAAGGUUUCCUGCUCAACGCUAAUCGGAGCAGGGUUAGCCGGAACCCUAAGGUGUAGCCGAAAGGCGUAGCCGAUGGGAAAGUGGGUUAAUACUCCCCGCCGCUGCAGGGCGCUAACAGUAAUAUUGACGGCACAGUAGGAUGUAAGGAGUUGACGGCUUGCUCCUUGCUACCCGAAAUGUGUCCAAGAAACAGAUAUUACUGUUGUCCUGUAGCGACCGUACCUCAAACCGACACAGGUGGGCUGGUAAGUAAUUCACCAAGGGUAGCGGGUGAAACCCUCCUAAGGAACUCGGCAAAUUUUCCCCGUAACUUCGGAAGAAGGGGUGCCCGUUCUGGCGCAAGCUAGAACGGGUCGCAGAGAAAAGGUGGUGCCGACUGUUUACUAAAAACACAGGUCUCUGCUAACCCGAAAGGGGAAGUAUAGGGACUGAAGCCUGCCCGGUGCCCGAAGGUCAAGGUAAGGGGUUAGCCGCAAGGUGAGGCUCCAAGCCUAAGCCCGGGUAAACGGAGGCCGUAACUCUGACGGUCAAGGCUAUAAAAAGGGCCGUCAAUAAAUCCGACUAUAUGCUGGGAAGCCCGAAAAUCCUACCAUACCGAGUAGGUGAAAAUUGGUAGGAUUGGGUUAUCAGCAGGAAAGAUUCUCCAAAAGGAGGUGCAUCAUGAGAGAAAAAUACAAAAAAUUCUUCCUUGCAGGAUUUAUAGAGGGUGAAGGGUCGCUUUGCAUCUCUUUAAAGAAAAAUGCAAGCUCAAAGUUUGGAAUAAAUGUGGAUCCAGAAUUUUUUAUCUAUCAACGCAAAUCUGGAAGAGCACUUCUUGAAAUGGCCCAGCAAAUAUUUCAUACUGGAACCAUAUACGAAAAAGAUGGAAAUAGGAAUGUGUUAGUCUUCGCUAUAAGAAAUAGAAGAAGUAUAAAAGAGAAAGUUAUUCCAUUUUUCGAAAAAUACGUAAUGCCCUUUUCCCAAAAAUUCAAAAAUAGCUUUUCAAUAAUAAAAAGAAUUAUUGAGCUUGAGGAAAGAGGUGCUCAUCAAACGAAAGAAGGUAUGAUCGAGAUAUUGAAACUUGCUUCAAGUUUCAAAACCCUAGAAGGGAAAAGGGGAAAAUGGGAUGCUAAAAAACUUUUGGAGAAUCUCCUCAGAGACCAUACGUCGGACUCCGAAUAAGGAGAAGAUAUGGUCCAAAGCUCCCUUAAAAAGGGGGUGAAAGCCUAAGGUAGCGUAGUCCCUUGCCGGGUAAGUUCCGGCCUGCAUGAAUGGCCCAACGAGUGCCACGCUGUCUUAGGGGGGUGCCCGGUGAAAAUGUAGUGGGGGUGAAGAUGCCCCCAACCCAUGGCAGGACGGAAAGACCCCGUGCAGCUUUACUGCAGUCUGCCGCUGAACUUUGUGAAUUCCUGCGCAGAAUAGGUGGGAGCCUUUGAAGUCCUAGCUCCGGCUAGGAUGGAGGCGCCAGUGAGAUACCACCCUGGGGUUCGCGGAGUUCUAACCUAUAAGGGACACCGGCAGUCGGGCAGUUUUCCUGGGGCGGGAUCUCCCGAAAAAGUAUCGGGAGAGCACAUAAGGUGUCCUCAGCCGGUGUGGAAAGCCGGCCUUGAGUGCAGGGACAUAAGGACGCUUGACUGCAAGGGGGACACCCCAAGCAGGUGCGAAAGCAGGUCCCAGUGACCCGGCGGUUCUAUGUAGGAGGGCCGUCGAUCAGCGGAUAAAAGCUACGCCGGGGAUAACAGACUAAUUUCUCCCGAGAGUUCACAUCGACGGGGGAGUUUGGUACCUCGAUGUCGGCUCAUCCCCUCCUGGGGCUGAAGAAGGUCCCAAGGGUCGGGCUGUUCGCCCGUUAAAGGGGUACGCGAGCUGGGUUUAAACCGUCGUGAGACAGGUUGGUCCUUAUCCGCCAUGGGCGCAGGAUAGCUGCGAGGAGCUGGUCCUAGUACGAGAGGACCGGACUGGGGCAGCCUCUGGUGUACCAGUUGUUCCGCCAGGAGCAUCACGCUGGGUAGCCAAGCUGCUAAGGGAUAACCGCUGAAGGCAUCUAAGCGGGAAACCCACCUCAAGAUAAGCUAUCCCUGAAGGGCCCUCGGAGACUACGAGGUUGAUAGGCCCAAGGUGUAAGCUCCGCAAGGAGUUUAGCUGAUGGGUACUAAUCGCCCGUUCGCCAUAAACCUGUUU
rnacentral:rRNA from 1 species